GGCAGUGGGAAGCGCUGCGAGAGCGGUGGGCCCAGAGAGCCUGGGCACCCGCCAGCGGCCUGCUCCGCUGCCGGCACCGCUGGGCGCUUUGCUGGGUCCCAGGCACAAAGCAGAACCCAGGUGGGCUUCUGCUGUAAGGAGAGCAAAAUGAUGCCAUGCCCCAAAGGCAUACAGCCGCUCUUUGAAGCUCCUAGAGAUGCCACAAUACAAACUCCAUUUCUUUUAUAAUUCUGAACUCUGGGAAGCUGGAGAAGAUGAAGCAUUUUGGAAACUGUAAGAAGAAAGAAACAAAGAAAAUUACCUGAUGGGAGAGAAAAUGAGAGAAAUGGGAAAAAAUCCCAGACAAUCAAGUUGAAGGCCAAGAGCUCCAAAAAGAGGCAAGAUCCAAAACAUGAACAGCUCUCAAGCAAACCAGCCUUUCCAUUCCCUCUGGUGGGAUGUGGAGCAGGCAGUUUUCCCAUCAGAAACUGCAGGACUCAUUUCUGCUGUCGUAGGGCUUUGUAACAAGAGUUUAAUCAGACACACUUCUGCAGAGUGGGGGAAUAACAGUGGUCGUUUGUUGUUUCUCUAACUUUCAGCAAGGUUGCAUGGGCUGCAGCUGACUGCUGCUAGCAGGAGCUAAGCCCAGCCGUGUUUCACACCAAAGGAAGGUUACACAAUGCUGUGGGUGGCAGAGUAUUUCUGGGAGGCCCACUUUGCUGCGGACUUUUCUUGCAUCACUUCCUGAAAUAGAGAUUGACUGAUGUGAUAUAUUCUUACUUUUAGUCGUUUGGGUUUUUUUUUUCUCAAACUACACUUUAUACUUGCCUGCUGUUUGCAGAGUUGCCUUUUGAAGAGAAGAUCAUAAAGGCUCAAAUCAAGGUGCACUCCUUGAUUUGAUUUUAACAUGAGUUCUCCCUGAUUCGUCCGUUUUUUUUCUCUGUUCUUCUGGCAUCUCAGAAUGGAAACUCUGCCAAAGCACUGAAUAAAAAGGGAAUUAUAUCCUCUGCAA